CGCCUUCUGAAGCCCAUAGAAGGUCCAGCCUGCCCAGUGACAAAGUUAAACGGCCGCGGUACCCUAACCGUGCAAAGGUAGCGCAAUCACUUGUUCUUUAAAUGAGGACUAGUAUGAAUGGCAUCACGAGGGUUACACUGUCUCCCCACUUUAAUCAGUGAAACUGAUCUCCCCGUGAAGAAGCGGGGAUAAACAUAUAAGACGAGAAGACCCCAUGGAGCUUUAAACUCAGUACCACCUGCCACUUAAAAAACCUAUAAACCACGCAGCUCUGAUUACUAGUUUUUGGUUGGGGUGACCGCGGAGUAAAACAAAACCUCCACAACGAAAGGAACUGAUAUCCUAAUACAAGAGAUACACCUCUAAUAAUUAAUAAAUUAACUAAACUGACCCAAUUAAUUGAUCAAUGAACCAAGUUACCCUGGGGAUAACAGCGCAAUCCAUUUCAAGAGCCCCUAUCGACAAAUGGGUUUACGACCUCGAUGUUGGAUCAGGGUGUCCAAGUGGCGCAGCCGCUACUAACGGUUCGUUUGUUCAACGAUUAAAACCCU
rnacentral:rRNA from 1 species